rnacentral:rRNA from 1 species
CCUACGGGAGGCAGCAGUGGGGAAUAUUGGACAAUGGGGGGAACCCUGAUCCAGCGACGCCGCGUGAGUGAAGAAGUAUUUCGGGAUGUAAAGCUCUAUCAGCAGGGAAGAAAGAAAUGACGGUACCUGACUAAGAAGCCGCGGCUAACUACGUGCCAGCAGCCGCGGUAAUAAGUAGGGGGCAAGCGUUAUCCGGAUUUACUGGGUGAAAAGGGAGCGAAGACGGCGAUGCAAGUCUGAAGUGAAAGGCGGGGGCCCAACCCCCGGACUGCUUUGGAAACUGUAUGGCUGGAGUGCAGGAGAGGUAAGUGGAAUUCCUAGUGUAGCGGUGAAAUGCGUAGAUAUUAGGAGGAACACCAGUGGCGAAGGCGGCUUACUGGACUGUAACUGACGUUGAGGCUCGAAAGCGUGGGGAGCAAACAGGAUUAGAUACCCUAGUAGUC